UACGGAGGGUGCGAGCGUUGUCCGGAAUCACUGGGCGUAAAGGGCGCGUAGGUGGCCUGUGGAAGUCUGCGGUGAAAGCCCGGCGCUCAACGCCGGGUCGGCCGUGGAUACUCGUCGGGCUUGAGCUUACUAGAGGCAGAUGGAAUUCCGGGUGUAGCGGUGGAAUGCGUAGAGAUCCGGAAGAACACCGGUGGCGAAGGCGGCCUGCGUGGGCAGUUUUGGCUGACA
rnacentral:rRNA from 1 species